rnacentral:rRNA from 1 species
UACGGAGGGCGCUAGCGUUGUUCGGAAUUACUGGGCGUAAAGCGCGCGUAGGCGGCUUUGUAAGUUAGAGGUGAAAGCCCGGGGCUCAACCCCGGAAUUGCCUUUAAGACUGCGUCGCUUGAAUCCGGGAGAGGUGAGUGGAAUUCCGAGUGUAGAGGUGAAAUUCGUAGAUAUUCGGAAGAACACCAGUGGCGAAGGCGGCUCACUGGACCGGCAUUGACGCUGAGGUGCGAAAGCAUGGGGAGCAAACAGG